rnacentral:rRNA from 1 species
GCCUAAAAACUAGCCCACCCACCACAACAAUAAGAUCUUACUAAACCCCCCACAAGAACUAAAAACAACAAACAAAUCAUUUUUCCACCCCAGUAUGGGAGACAGAAAAGGAACAAGGAGCAAUAGACAGAGUACCGCAAGGGAAAGUUGAAAGAGAAAUGAAAAAACUCAUCUAAGCCAAUGAAAGCAGAGACUAGAACUCGUACCUUUUGCAUCAUGAUUUAGUUAGAAGCCCUCAGGCAAAGUGCCCUGUAGUCUGGACCCCCGAAACUGAAGCGAGCUACUCCAAGAUAGCCUGUAAUUUAGGGCAAACCCGUCUCUGUGGCAAAAGAGUGGGAAAAUCUUCAAGUAGAGGUGACAAGCCUACCGAGCUCAGUUAUAGVCUGGUUGCCUGGAAAAUGAAUAUAAGUUCAGCCCCUCGGCCCCCCACCCCAAGCGGGAAUAACCCCGCCAGGCCCCGGAGGAGCCAAGGGAGUUAGUCAAAAGAGGUACAGCUCUUUUGAAAAAGAUACAACUUAAUCAGGAGGCCAAAGAUCAUAUAAAAUUAUCCCA